UACGGGGGGGAGCAAGCGUUGUUCGGAUUUACUGGGCGUAAAGGGCGCGUAGGCGGCCAGCACAAGUCAGUUGUGAAAUCUCCGAGCUUAACUCGGAACGGUCAACUGAUACUGUGCGGCUAGAGUGCGGAAGGGGCAACUGGAAUUCUUGGUGUAGCGGUGAAAUGCGUAGAUAUCUGGAGGAACACCGGUGGCGAAGGCGGCAUCCUGGACCGGUAUUGACGCUGAGGCGCGAAAGCUAGGGGAGCAAACGGGG
rnacentral:rRNA from 1 species